GACGUAGGGCGCGAGCGUUGUCCGGAUUUAUUGGGCGUAAAGAGCUCGUAGGCGGCUUGUCGCGUCGUCCGUGAAAACCUGCAGCUCAACUGCAGGCUUGCGGGCGAUACGGGCAGGCUCGAGUUCGGUAGGGGAGACUGGAAUUCCAGGUUGUAGUAGUGAAAUGCGUAGAUAUCUGGAAGAACACCAAUGGCGAAGGCAAUGUUCUGGCUCGUUUCUGACGCUGAGGUGCGAAAGCGUGGGGAGCAAACAGG
rnacentral:rRNA from 1 species